UUACUGAUUCAGGAGGUCUGGGUGGGGCCUGAGAAUCUGUGUUUCUAACAAUUUCUCAGGUGACAC
rnacentral:miRNA from 1 species